rnacentral:lncRNA from 1 species
GAUAAAAAUUAUAAGAGUAAUUAAAUAUAUGAAUGAAAUAAAGAGUGAAAUUAACAUAAGUGUUUAAGUUUAAUAACAUUGAUUUAGUAUAUCUACUAUAUGAAAGCUUGGAUUUGAUGUAUUAAAAAUAGUUUCAACAAAACUACAAAUUAAUAGGUCUGCUACCCUAGCACAAAUGUGUCUGCCGCCGCUAGCAUGAGUCAUUUGGUUUUUUAGGUUUAAUCUUAGUUUUUUUGUUUGUUUUUUUCUUGUUCAAUUUAAGGGAUUCUUCAUCGCUUUAUUUUUGCAAGUGGAGUCUGUCGUCUGAGUUCUGACCUUCAAACCUGCAUCCAUGGAGACUGAAUUAGCACAAUUAUCAUUAAAUGAGGAAGAGGAAGAAAUACUGCAGAUUUAGGUAGAUCCAACCACAAAAAGAGGAGUAGAAGAUUUUAGGCUUGUGGGGUGUUUUUUAACUGCCAGUAUUAUCCACUUCCCAGUUAUGAAAAAUACUAUGGCUAAUCUGUGUCAUCCUGUUUGUGGGGUUCAAGUUAGAGAUUUAGGAGAAAAAAGGUAUCUCUUUCAAUUUUUUCAUGGUAUGGAUAUGGAGAGGAUUUUGAAAGGUUCUCCUUGGACUUUCAAUAAUCACUUGUUGAUACUUUAUAAAUUGAAAAGGGAGGAAGAUCCAUUAAGAGUACCUUUAAUUAUUUCCCCUUUUUGGGUCCAAAUUCAUGACGUCCCAGUAAGGUAUUUUUUUUUUUGAAAAUUUAGCAAUGCAAUUAGGAAACUUUGUUGGAACUUUCUUGGAGUAUGAUGGUUCAAAUCUUGGGAAGGAAAAUCAAAACUACAUGAGAGUAAGGGUAUAGAUUGACAUUAGGAGGCCUCUAAAACGAAGGAAGAAGGUUAUGUGGUGUAGGAGAUGCUCGUUUGUUAAAUUUCAGUAUGAACGUUUAUCACUUUUUUGUUUCUACUGUGACCAACUGGGGCAUAAUGAUUCAUUCUGUGAGGAAAGAAUGAUGUUAGGGGUUGAUUCUGGGGAUUUGGAUUGGGAUUUAUCUUUGCGAGCACAAUCCCGAAGAACCGUAUCUAUGAAUAGCAUAUGGCUUCGGAAUGAAGGGAAAGAAAAACGAGAAGGAAUUUAAGAGGAUAAUCGAUCUUUGGGGUUUGAUUUUUGGAAUGGAGAUACUAAGGGAAGAUGUGGUAAAUCUAUUGAUCCAAUUCUGGGAUUCAAUAUUGAAGGAGGAACAUCAUCUUUAGCUCACAGACAAGAGAGUUCUUGGGCUGAUCAGAUGCAAACGGCCAUGGAAUAUGAUUUAGAAGAUGGUAUUUUAACAGAAGAGGAGGGGAAAAAGCAAACAAGAAGGAAAAUGAGUGAUCUAACGGGGAAAGAGGAGAGUGGGGCAAUGUAAUGACAAUGAGUAAGCGUACGGUGGAUUUUAAUAUUUUAUCAUCGGCGUUUGCCAAGAGGCAAGCCGACCAAACGCAAUGAAAAUCUUAAGCUGGAAUGUUCGUGGUUUGGGGAGACCACGGACGAUUAGAAGACUUCGACAUUCGCUGAAGAUAUAUAAUCCCCAAAUAGUCCUCUUUAUAGAGACAAAGCUUAGUAGACGACAGAUGGAGUGAGUUCAUAGAAGUUGUGGUUUUGUGAAUGGUAUUAAAGUUGACUCAGAUGGUACACGAAGAGGUUUGUGUUUAACAUUGAGGCUGAAUAUAAAUAUAACACUCCGUACUUUUUCCAAGAGGCAUAUUGAUGUGAUUGUUACGGACAAGGAAUACAGGACUAAUUAAAGAUUUACGAGAUUCUAUGGAUCCCUUUAUGCGUCCGAUAGGGCUGAUUUUAUGGGCUGUUCUGAAAAGGUUGGCAUUUGACAAGAAUAUUCCUUGGUUAGUUUGUGAAGAUUUCAAUGAGAUUAUGUAUGGUUUUGAGAAAAAAGGAGGAUUGCCUAGAGAUGAAAGACGAAUGAAACUCUUCCGAAGAACACUGGAAAAAUGUCAUCUAAACGAUGUGGGUUUUUGUGGGAAUUGGUUCACUUGGGAGAGAGGUACCACAGACGAACAUUCGAGAACGGUUAGACAGAGGGGUUGCCAACACAGAAUGGAUUGUUAUGUUCCUGAAGGUGAAAAUCCAACAUUUAGUGCACACUUUUUCUUAUCAUUAUCCCCUUCUCAUUAAUACAAGAAUGAAUGAAGAUCGCUUGAAGAAUAAGGGUUUCAAAUUUGAGGCCUGGUGGUCUUUGGAGGAAUCUUUUAUUAAUGAAGUCAAAUGUUUGUGGAAGGAGUCUUCAGGGGUCUUGUUGUAGAAGCUGGAAAAUUUAAAAACAAGCUUGAAACAAUGGGCGGGGAAAAUUCAUAUGAAUAGGAUAAAGAAAAAACAAAUCCUUAUGGAAAAAUUAGCAAAACAGUCUAAAGCAGAGAGAGAUGAUGAGAAUUUAGCCUAGCUGAUUGAUACGAAAAUUAAUUUAAACUUGAAUAUUGAUAAAGAUGAAUGUUAUUGGGAACAGAGGGCUCGACUUAAUUAGCUGAAAUUUGGAGAUAAAAAUACAGCGUUUUUUCAUAGUCAUGCAUCACAACGGCGAAAGAUGAACCUUAUUCGUAGAUUACAGAAUGAAGAUGGAAGCGAAAUGGUAGAAUUGCAAGAAAUAGAGGGUAGUGCUAGAUCUUAUUUUCAAAGUUUAUUUUCAGCAGGAGGUAGAGGUAGUUACGACUAUUUGUUAUCUGGGAUUGAGCAUUGUAUAUUCGAUGAAGAUAAUCAAAAGCUUACUGCAAAAUAUACCAGGGAGGAGAGUACAACAGCAGUUUUUAAAAUGGGACCCACAAAGGCACCGGGGGAGGACGACUUUUCACCUUUUUUUUAUCAUGAACAUUGGCAUAUCGUAGGAGAAGAUACCAUUUCUUUUUGUCUUCAAAUUCUUAAUGGGAAUAUGGAGAUUAGUGCUGUGAACUAUACUAAUAUAGUACUUGUUCCGAAAGUCACCAGCCCCUCAAAUAUCACACAAUUUUGACCAAUCAGUUUGUGUAAUGUGCUCUAUAAAAUUCUGGCUACGAUUUUAACUAAUCGUUUACGAGGUGCCAUUGGUAAAUGUAUUGAUGAAGCACAACGUGCUUUUGUGCCAGGAUGAUUAAUAUCAGACAACGUGCUAUUGGCAUAUGAAGUAUUGCAUAAGUUAAACACGAAGGGAUCGGGGAAGACAGGGUAUAUGACAGUUAAACUAGACAUGAGCAUAACAUAGGAUAGAGUUGAAUGAGCUUUUAUAACAGAAGUCAUACUACAAAUGGGGUUUGAUAUGAAGUGGGUAGAUGCCCUUAUGAAAUGUGUUUCAAAGACCUCUUAUUCAGUAGUUAUAAAUGGGCAUAUUAGGGAAAAAAUUUUCCCAACCAGAGGACUUGGACAAGGUGAUCCGUUAAACCCGUUUUUAUUCCUCUUAUGUGGGGAGGGUCUGUCUAGCCUAUUGAGGCUAGCAAUGAAUAGCAGGCUCUUUAAAGGUGUUAAGGUUAGUAGAAGCGAGCCACAGGUAUCACAUCUUUUGUUUGCUGAUGAUUGUAUUUUAUUUGGGGAGGCCAUAAGUAGGGUUGCAACGUUAUUCAAAGACAUUUUGUGGGAGUAUAAAUUUUGUUCAAGUCAGUGUGUUAAUUGUUAAUUUUGACAAAUCAAGAGUCUUUUUCAGUAAGAAUACCUCGGAAGAUGAUAGGAGCUUGGUUCUUAAUUUGCUAGGGGUCCGCAGUUCGAACGAACUAGAGCAUUACCUGGGGUUGCUGAGUACGGUGGGCAGUAGGAAAAAGGCAUCCUUUCAAAACUUGAAGGACCGACUCCGAAAACGUACUGAUAAUUGGAGCAAUCGGCUUUUAUCUCAAGGGGUGAAGGAAGUAUUUGUGAAGGCCAUUUUACAGGCGAUACCAAUUUACACGAUGACCUGUUUUUUAUUGCCUAAGGCCCUAUGUGAUGAAUUCAAAAGUAAGUAUUGUCGCACGAUUCUGGUGGCAGAAGGGCCACAGAAAAAGGGGUAUUCAUUGGUGCACUUGGAAAAACCUUUGUGAUUUAAAAGAAAAUGGUGGUUUAGGUUUUAGAAAUUUUGGUAUCCAAAUUCUUUGUUAGCAAGAGUUUUAAAAGCUAAAUACUAUCCGAAUUCAAAAUUUUUAAGUGUAGAGUUGGGCAAUUUACCUUCACUCACCUGGAAGAGUAUUUGGACAGCAAGGGUACUACUCCUAAAAGGGCUGGGUUGGAGAGUGGGCAGAGGAGAUAAGAUCUCUAUAUGGGAAGAUAGCUGGAUUCCAGGGAUUGACACAAUCAAUGAACAUAUCAGACAGAUCAAAGGAGAUUUAGAGUUAGUUUCGGAGCUUAUUGACAGUGCAAAUAGGAAGUGGAGAACAGAUUUGAUUAACCGUACCUUUUAAGAGGAAGCUGCUCAGAAGAUUUUGCAGAUCCCUAUCGCAGAGACCGAUCAUGAAGACACGUAAGUUUGGCAAGGAGAGUUAUCGGGUGAAUUCACGGUACGCAGUGCGUAUAAUGCUAGCCUGGGUUCUAGGAAUUAUUUAUUACAGACCGAAAUGAAAGACUUUUACAGAAAGUUAUGGAGCCUACAAUUACCCCCUAAAAUUACAAUCACUAUUUGGAGAAUCUCCAGGGAUUUUAUCCCGAAUUUUGCUAAUCUCCAGUACAAAAGAGUAAUUUCAAAUGAUGGAUGCCCCCGAGGCUGUUCCUGGGUAGAAGAUAGCCCCCAUUUCUUCCGUGACUGUCCUGCAACUAUAGCAUGUAUGGGGAUUAAUACAUUUACAGUGGGUGGUUAAUAAUAUGAAUCAAAGUAUGUGGGAGUGGCUAACCGGGGUUUUUAAGAGAGGAAACGACAUCCAAUGUAGACUUUUUUGUUAUACUUUAUGGCUAAUAUGGUUCUCCAGGAAUCAGUUCGUGCAUGAAAGGAAAAACACAACCAAUAGAGAGUUAGCGCAAAGCAUACAGAGGUCUCUGGCAGAACAUGAAGUGGUCAGAAAAAUGAAAAGACCUGUAAAUAUGAACAGACCUUUUAGAGUCUAAGAAGACAUGCCGAGAACGACGAUCUAUUUUGAUGGAGCAUUUGAUAGUAGUAGCUUCACAUCUGCGACGGGUCUGGUGGUUCGCGAUAUGACGGGGAAUCUCAUGGCCUUAAAGUCCAUCAUUCACAACAAUAUUUCCUCCUCAUUUGCAGCAGAAGCACAUGCAUGCUUAGAGGGUAUAAAAUUAGGGAUUUCACUAGGUUUACAAUCGGCAACAAUCAUGGGAGACUCUAAAACAAUUAUUAAGAAAUCCGAAACGACUUCACCGGAUAAAUCAGUGAUUGGAGCCAUUAUCAAUGACAUCCAGAACAGAAAAAGGUGUUUUCAAGAGAUUAUUUUUCAGCAUAUUCACAGAUCGGGGAACUCAUAAGCACAUAGAAUAGCAAAAACUGCGCUUGUUGGAAGGGAGUCCACUUACCGGAUGGGAGAAGAUUUGAAUCGGCACGAGUUUGCUUCUGAGAGGCACUGGCAAAGGAACCCAGACUGAAAGAGUUUUUGAGGGAAAUAGAUUAUCAAAGGAUGGUAGCAGGUAUAGAUUAUUUUGGUUUUUGGAAACUGCUAGGAUGGGAUUUUGAAACGACAACUCAAGAAUUUAGUGGUAUCCAGCAGUUCUUACAUUGACUGGGGUAGAUAUUUUUUAGGUUUCCUCUUUUUGGUAGUCAUGUUUCAUUUGCUGGUUAGAAGACAUUAUUAUCAUGCCAGAUAAUGAGGCCGGCUUUUUGGUCUUCUUUAGUUUAGUGUUGUAAUGGGCUUGGGUCUAAGGAUCUCUUGGGUCUCAAGUUCUUUUCCUUUUCAUUCUAAUAAAAUCCCCGGUCACUUAAUAUCAAAAAAUAAUAAUAAUAAUAACAUUGAUUUAAAAUUCGAUCUCAAAAC